AGUAGAGCACAGUAUAAUAUAUCUUUGUAUUGUACUGCUCUACUAACUGUACGAUUCAAACCUGGGAAACAUACGUCUAUAAUAGGGUUUAGAUUUGGUCCAGUCCGGUCCGUCUGUGGGUGAGGAUGCUGGAUACAGCACGACAGGGUAGGUGUCAGUAAGAGCUGGGAGAGGUGACAUUAACUGAAGAGUGGGAGGGAGGGGUUGUCCACUCUUGGUUUGACCAUCAGACAACAGAAAGACAAAUAAAAGAGCUAUGAGCUGAACAUAACAGUCAGUGGAAGAGAGGACAGUAACAGGAGACACUAUGAGCUGAACAUAAGUCAGUGGAAGAGAGGACAGUAACAGGAGACACUAUGAGCUGAACAUAACAGUUAGUGGAAGGGAGGACAGUAACAGGAGACACUAUGAGCUGAACAUAACAGUCAGUGGAAGGGAGGACAGUAACAGGAGACACUAUGAGCUGAACAUAACAGUCAGUGGAAGAGAGGACAGUAACAGGAG
rnacentral:lncRNA from 13 species